rnacentral:rRNA from 1 species
UUGCUUGUUNNCAAAGAUUAAGCCAUGCAUGUCUAAGUACAGGCCGACCCAAGGCGAAACCGCAAAUGGCUCAUUAAAUCAGUCAUGAUUCAUUGGAUGUUGAUGAAUCUUUUACUCGGAUAACCGUGGUAAUUCUAGAGCUAAUACGUGCAAUCGAGCUCCGACCCCGCCAUUCCAGGCGGGGGAAGGGCGCAUUUAUUAGAAUCAUAAACCGAGCGGACUGCGGUCCGUCUCAUACGAGGUUGUGAUGACUCUGAAUAACUACGCCGAGCGCUGAGGCCUUCGUGCCGGCGCCGUAUCCUCCGAGUGUCUGCCUUAUCAGCUUUCGAUUGUAGGUUAUACGCCUACAAUGGCUGUAACGGGUAACGGGGAAUCAGGGUUCGAUUCCGGAGAGGGAGCCUGAGAAACGGCUACCACAUCUAAGGAAGGCAGCAGGCACGCAAAUUACCCACUCCCGGCACGGGGAGGUAGUGACGAUAAAUAACGAUGCGGGACUCUUCCGAGGCCUCGCAAUCGGAAUGAGUUCACUCUAAAUACUUGGACGAGGAUCCAUUGGAGGGCAAGUCUGGUGCCAGCAGCCGCGGUAAUUCCAGCUCCAAUAGCGUAUAUUAAAGUUGUUGGCGGUUAANNNNNNNNNNNNNAAAGCAGGCAAACCUUAUAGCCUGAAUGUAUAUGCAUGGAAUGAUGGAACAGGACCUCGGUUCUGCAUUUUUCUCUCGGUUUUCCGAACCCGAGGUAAUGAUUAACGGGAACGGACGGGGGCAUUAGUAUUGCGACGCUAGAGGUGAAAUUCUUGGACCGUCGCAAGACUAACUACUGCGAAAGCAUUUGCCAAGAACGCUUUCAUUAAUCAAGAACGAAAGUUAGAGGAUCGAAGGCGAUCAGAUACCGCCCUAGUUCUAACCUUAAACGAUGCCAACUGGCGAUCCGCUUACGUUAUUCCCACGACUGAGCGGGGAGCCCCCGGGAAACCAAAGUCUUUGGGUUCCGGGGGAAGUAUGGUUGCAAAGCUGAAACUUAAAGGAAUUGACGGAAGGGCACCACCAGGAGUGGAGCCUGCGGCUUAAUUUGACUCAACACGGGGAACCUCACCAGGCCCAGACACCGGAAGGAUUGACAGAUUGAGAGCUCUUUCUCGAUUCGGUGGGUGGUGGUGCAUGGCCGUUCUUAGUUGGUGGAGCGAUCUGUCUGGUUGAUUCCGAUAACGAACGAGACUCUACCCUACUAACUAGUCGGUGGAUCGUAUCCCGAGACGGGUUCCCCUGUCGGGGGGUUCGGUGCGGUACGUUGGCCCUCCGUCCGCGGCGUCCUUCCCUCUAAAUGCGGCGGGAAAAUGCCGUUUUUUCGUCCCUCCUCCCUCCCGGGGCGUUUCGGCGCUUCGGGUGUGGAGGUGGGCGGGAGGCGGCACGACUCGUGCGCGUAGGGGGGCCAAAACGGGGCGUCGCGCGUCGUUAGAGGCGUCGCGUCCGCGCUCGCUACAUUCCCCGUUCAGGGCCCAGCGAGGGGCGUCCACCGCAACAUCUUCUUAGAGGGAUCGGCGGCGUCCAGCCGCACGAGAGAGAGCAAUAACAGGUCUGUGAUGCCCUUAGAUGUUCUGGGCCGCACGCGCGCUACAAUGAAGGGAUCAGCGUGCUUUCCCCCUCCGAAAGGAGCGGGUAACCCGUUGAAACCCCUUCCCGAUUGGGAUUGGGGAUUGCAAGUGUUUCCCAUGAACGAGGAAUUCCCAGUAAGCGCAAGUCAUCAGCUUGCGAUGAUUACGUCCCUGCCCUUUGUACACACCGCCCGUCGCUACUACCGAUUGAAUGAUUCAGUGAGGGCGUCGGACUGGCGCCCUCGGUAGCUCUCGGUUUCGGGCAAUGCGCCUUCGCCCUUCCGGGGCGUUUGGCGGGCUCGGCCGUUAGGCACCCCGGGCCGCCGGAAAGACGUCCGAACUUGAUCAUUUAGAGGAAGUAAAAGUCGUAACAAGGUUUCCGUANGUGAACCUGGGGAAANGGAUCA